rnacentral:rRNA from 1 species
GUCGAGCGAGGGAUUUAUGACGGAUUCCUUCGGGAUGAAGACAUAAAUCACCUAGCGGCGGACGGGUGAGUAACGCGUGAGGAACCUACCUCCUACAAGGGGAUAGCCUCGGGAAACUGGGAUUAAUACCCUAUGACACUUAAGGAUCGCAUGAUCUUUAGGUUAAAGCGAUAUAGCGGUAGGAGAUGGCCUCGCGUCCCAUUAGCUAGUUGGUGAGGUAACGGCUUACCAAGGCGACGAUGGGUAGCCGGCCUGAGAGGGUGAACGGCCACACUGGAACUGAGACACGGUCCAGACUCCUACGGGAGGCAGCAGUGGGGAAUAUUGCACAAUGGGCGAAAGCCUGAUGCAGCGACGCCGCGUGAGCGAAGAAGGCCUUCGGGUCGUAAAGCUCUGUCCUAUGGGACGAUAAUGACGGUACCAUAGGAGGAAGCCCCGGCUAACUACGUGCCAGCAGCCGCGGUAAUACGUAGGGGGCGAGCGUUGUCCGGAAUUACUGGGCGUAAAGGGUACGUAGGCGGCUAGGUAAGUCAGAUGUGAAAUCCAUGGGCUCAACCCAUGUAAG